rnacentral:rRNA from 1 species
CGAACGCUGGCGGCGUGCUUAACACAUGCAAGUCGAGCGGUAAGGCCCUUUCGGGGGUACACGAGCGGCGAACGGGUGAGUAACACGUGGGUGACCUGCCCUCAGCUCUGGGAUAAGCCUGGGAAACCGGGUCUAAUACUGGAUAUGACUCCAUGACGCAUGUUGUGGGGUGGAAAGCCUUGUGCGGCUGAGGAUGGGCCCGCGGCCUAUCAGCUUGUUGGUGGGGUGAUGGCCUACCAAGGCGACGACGGGUAGCCGGCCUGAGAGGGCGACCGGCCACACUGGGACUGAGACACGGCCCAGACUCCUACGGGAGGCAGCAGUGGGGAAUCUUGCGCAAUGGGCGAAAGCCUGACGCAGCGACGCCGCGUGA